GCCUCUUUCGCUCAAUUGGCCGGAGCGCUUGAUAGGUUUAUCGGGGCGUUGGUUCGAAUCCGACAGGAGGCU
rnacentral:tRNA from 1 species